rnacentral:rRNA from 1 species
UACAGAGGUCCCAAGCGUUGUUCGGAUUUACUGGGCGUAAAGGGUGCGUAGGUGGUUGGGUAAGUCUGAUGUGAAAUCUCGGAGCUUAACUCCGAAACGGCAUUGGAUACUAUCCAGCUUGAGAGUUGGAGGGGGGACUGGAAUUCUCGGUGUAGCAGUGAAAUGCGUAGAUAUCGAGAGGAACACCAGUGGCGAAGGCGAGUCCCUGGACAACUUCUGACACUGAGGCACGAAAGCCAGGGGAG